UUCUAAAAAAUAGCAUAUGAACUGCAAGUGAACUACAGUACAUUGCACAUACACACAAUUUUUUGGUGCAAAACUGUGGACAGUCUAAUCAAAUAUUGAGUCCGUAAGGAGAUGCAGAACAAGCACAUAUUCUGCACAAAAUACAAUAUCUAGUAUGCAUCUAGUCGUCAUAUAUCAGUAACUCUCUUCUGUAGGUCUGCUCUUCACCCUCGAUUCGUCCUGCUCUGAUUCGUCACUUCACCUCUCAAGCUCCGCCCUCACCGUCACCUUCACGGGUCACAUGAUCUCAUCACAUGACCGCAGCGAUCAGGGCUCCUGUCCGCUUCCUCAGGUGUGCGGCAGCGUGGGCGUGUCCAGAGGACAGUAUUACUGGGAGGUGGACGUCUGCAACAGCGCCAUCUACAGGAUCGGAGUGAUUUCAUCAUGUGAUGGGCGUGGCUGGUGGUUGGAGAGGCGUGACUCUGCGUUUCACGCUGUGUUUGACGGACGGCGUGAGCUCCUCCCCUCCGUGCCUCCUCAGCUGAAGACAGUGGGCGUGUUUCUAAAUGUGGGCGGGGCUUCGAUCACCUUCCACAAUCCGGUAACUCAAGAGUUUCUCGCCGCCGUCCCCUCCCACUUCAGUGUCCCCCUCCGUCCUGCUCUUCAACUGGGGCAGGGAAGACUGAAGCUCCGCCCCAGCCUGCCGCCGCCCAAUCACGUCUUUCUCAGCCACAGCUCUGCCUAUCGGGGUCCAGGAGGGGUGGGAAGUGUGCGCUGGAGGCGGGAUGUACCGUUCGGGUCGGUGAGGGCCGUGAUUCAGAAGUUUGAGGAGAUGUCGACCACGUCAGACUCAGAUUCUGGUCUCGUGUCCAGCGACCAAUAACAGUACAGAACGACCAAAACCUAGAGUACUUUCUACACGGACAGCAUCGUAAGGUGUGCUCCCUAGAUAGACAGGAAUUAUGCUGCCUUCUAAGAUCUCGUCUUUUGGACAAAAUAUAAGAAGCAUCACAUAUAUAUUCUUCUUGAAAGAGUUUGCAAAAUGCAAACAGCGCCACCUGUAGGGCAGAAGCUCUUGAAGAAAAAAACAAACAAAAUGUAACUCAAUUUUUACAACAAGCUCAUUUAUUGUCUUCUUGUGGUGAAUUCAUUUUUGUCUUAUAUGUUUGUAUUCAGUGGGACUAUAUUUUCUGUAUUAUAUUUAUUUAGUGAUUGCAAGAGAUUGUGUUUCCAAAAUGAUGCUCAUUAAACAAACACCUAAUUAAAAUACUGUACAAAAACCAAAAAUACCACAACUCACACACAGGAAAUAAAUUAUUUAGACAUAUUAAUUGCAUGAUCACAGUCAAACUGCCUGUUAACAAUUUUUUAUUUUAUUUUAUUUUAUUUUAAAAGCUUAAAAAUAUUCCUGAAAUGCUGUAAAUAAUAUGUAAAUAAUAAAACCUGUUUAUUAUUACAU
rnacentral:lncRNA from 12 species